rnacentral:miRNA from 1 species
GAGUAGAGUGGGGUGGGAGAGGGAGAGGGAGAGGGAGAGCUUGCGGUUGGGAGCUUGACUUGGCGCUAAGAACUUCUGGAAUUUUAUCACCCCUCAAGCACCCCCUCUCUCUCUCUCUCUCGCUCUUUCGCGCUCC